rnacentral:tRNA from 1 species
GAAAUAACAGAUUAAAGAAUAAGCUUCUAACUUAACUCUUAAGCGUUGAAAUACGUUUUUAUUUCU